GUGAAAAGGAAAAAGGAAAAACAACUCAGCAGAGUGAGAUGGAAUCCUGCUAAUAGGCUCUCUACCUGACUGACUGAAUCCCACCUCAGUACACAGGAACACGAAACGCCAGGCUCCUCCCUGCUGCCAAUGGUGUGAACUUUCCAAGGCCCCAUGCUGUCCUCCCAGUGCUCAGCCUCCAUAAGAUCCUCAAAGGACAGAGUUUGCAGAGCUUCCAGGUUGGUGAGCAAGAACACGUUCACAUGCCAGGAGGAUGGUGACCUCCAACUCCAUGGGGACAGAGCUGCUGCUCCAUGCCCCUGCCCACAUGCCUUGCCCUGGGGACCCCUGCCUCUGGCUGUUCAUCUGUAUCCUUUGUAAUAUCCUUUACAGUAAAUGUGUUUCCUGAGUUCUGUGAGCUGUUCUAGCAAGUGAUUGUACCUGAGUGUGUGGCGGUGGGGGUGGGGGGAGAUCACAGGAACUUCAAUUUGUAGCUAAGUCAGACAGAAAUUGUGGGUAACCUGGGGACUGAGAAAGAAAAGAAACUUUUAAUCUGAGGAAUGCAGCCCCCCUUUAAAUUAUCAAGCCUAGGGAGGCACUGAAAUGAGACAUUUCAUUUCAGGGGUCACAUCCUCCCGCUCUGAGCUUGAACUAAGUAAUCAUCUCCGAGUUGCUGUGCUACGAGGGCUCUAGACUGACACCACAAAUAGCUAUAAAUUAACGUAAUGAUGCCAUACACUGGACACCAUAACCCAUACCCUAUAGUUCAACAAUGUAUAGCCAGUCACUCAUCAACGUUACUUCUGAAAACCAAGGAGAGAAUUCUUGAAAAACAAUUUUUAUAAUCGCCCCUCCUCUGAGUCAUCCUUUUUUCUUUAAAAGCUGAAGCUUCUCUUUUGUUCUCCAGAGGACUUCCCAGUGCUUUCCGGGCUGCAGUCAUCAACUUAUCCCAAACCAAUUCUCUAUCUAUAUUAAUUUGCCUCAGUUUCUUCCUUUAGGUCAACAGGACCUACUACUUGCAAUUGGCAUUUGAAGUGGGUAGGGGCAGUCUUGUGGGACUGAGACUUCAACCUGUGGGAUCUGUGCUAACUCUAGUUCCUGUCAGAAUUGAACUGAUUUAUAGGACAUCCAGCUGGUGGAGAAUUGGUUGGUGUGGGAAAAAGAAGUGCACACGUGACCACAGAAGUGGGCUGAUGAUGAAUACUAGAGAGGAAACAGGAGUUGUUCUAUUCAUGUGGCAAAGAGGACAUUGCACAUGUGAUUAAGAAUCUUAAAGUGAGGAAGUUCUCCUGGAUUACCAGAUGAGCCUGAUAUUGUCACAAGGGUCCACAAAGGUGAAAAACGAGUCGGGAGAGUCAGAUUUGAAGAUGACUUUGAAGAUGGAAUAAGGAGCCAUGAGCCCAGGAAGGCAGCUGGAGAGACAAGGGAACCAAUUCUCUCCUAGAGCCUCCAGAAGGAGUGAAGUCCUGCCAGAUGGCAAAUAUUUUAAGCUUUGCAGCCAUACGGUCUCUGUCACAAUGACUCAACUCUGUCCUUGGAGCACAAAGGCAGCCAUAGACAGUUCACAAGUGAAUGGCUGUGUUCCAAUAAAACUAUUUGUAGACACUGAAA